AACGAACGCUGGCGGCAUGCCUAACACAUGCAAGUCGAACGAGACCUUCGGGUCUAGUGGCGCAAGGGUGCGUAACGCGUGGGAACCUGCCCUUAGGUUCGGAAUAACUCCCCGAAAGGGGUGCUAAUACCGGAUAAUGUCUUCGGACCAAAGAUUUAUCGCCUUUGGAUGGGCCCGCGUUGGAUUAGCUAGUUGGUAGGGUAAAAGCCUACCAAGGCGACGAUCCAUAGCUGGUCUGAGAGGAUGAUCAGCCACACUGGGACUGAGACACGGCCCAGACUCCUACGGGAGGUAGCAGUGGGGAAUAUUGGACAAUGGGCGAAAGCCUGAUCCAGCAAUGCCGCGUGAGUGAUGAAGGCCUUAGGGUUGUAAAGCUCUUUUACCCGGGAUGAUAAUGACAGUACCGGGAGAAUAAGCUCCGGCUAACUCCGUG
rnacentral:rRNA from 1 species